UGUAAAAGGCUGGAUGGCGGAUAGGGAGCGCGAGCGUGAAGAAACCGGCCGCCAUCUUACUGUACCCACAACAGUCGCCGCAGCGAUCAUGGCAACUUCUUGCAAUUACGGUCGUACCAACCGUACUGGCAGGGUUACAGGGCCUAAAUUUAUACAGGUUUCGUCAUGGGGGCUACCUAGUGAAUAAUCUGUGCAGUGUGAUACGGCUGGGUGUACAGGUUACUUCACAGCUGCCUCGACAUACUCAAGAAAUGGGUGCAGAACCUGCGUAAUGCCCACAAACUCCACAGCACCUCCAGAAAGUAAAGGCAUAUGUGUCACAUGGGAUUUUUAAAGGCAUUCACAGUAUAUAAUACCUUGUAUGAACUGUUGUAGAUCUAAGCAGCCUCUACAGUACACUCUCAGAAAUUAAAACUUGUCAGGGAACAGUGAUAAUUAUUCCAGUUAAUAGGCAUGCACAUGUACACUAUAAGAAGAAAAUUAUUUAUUGAGAAUGCCCUACUGUUGAUCACACUCAUGCAGCUGUAGGUUUACCUUCGGCCUCUUGGAACACUUUGUGGUUGCCUUAGCUGCAGGGGGAGUGUCAUCCAGCAUGUCAACUACUUGCAGAAAUAUUGACGUAUUUAAGAUUAUGACACAGUUUGAAGGGUUUCAAUUCAGGAAAUUUGCAGUGGCAGGGCCUGCCAGAGUGAAACCUACUGAAUAUUUUAUGGUGUCGAAGUG